rnacentral:rRNA from 1 species
AAAAGCCUCUAAGCAUCAGGUAACAUCAAAUCGUACCCCAAACCGACACAGGUGGUCAGGUAGAGAAUACCAAGGCGCUUGAGAGAACUCGGGUGAAGGAACUAGGCAAAAUGGUGCCGUAACUUCGGGAGAAGGCACGCUGACACGUAGGUGAAGUGAUUUACUCAUGGAGCUGAAGUCAGUCGAAGAUACCAGCUGGCUGCAACUGUUUAUUAAAAACACAGCACUGUGCAAACACGAAAGUGGACGUAUACGGUGUGACGCCUGCCCGGUGCCGGAAGGUUAAUUGAUGGGGUCAGCGCAAGCGAAGCUCCUGAUCGAAGCCCCGGUAAACGGCGGCCGUAACUAUAACGGUCCUAAGGUAGCGAAAUUCCUUGUCGGGUAAGUUCCGACCUGCACGAAUGGCGUAAUGAUGGCCAGGCUGUCUCCACCCGAGACUCAGUGAAAUUGAACUCGCUGUGAAGAUGCAGUGUACCCGCGGCAAGACGGAAAGACCCCGUGAACCUUUACUAUAGCUUGACACUGAACAUUGAGCCUUGAUGUGUAGGAUAGGUGGGAGGCUUUGAAGUGUGGACGCCAGUCUGCAUGGAGCCGACCUUGAAAUACCACCCUUUAAUGUUUGAUGUUCUAACGUGGACCCGUGAUCCGGGUUGCGGACAGUGUCUGGUGGGUAGUUUGACUGGGGCGGUCUCCUCCUAAAGAGUAACGGAGGAGCACGAAGGUUGGCUAAUCCUGGUCGGACAUCAGGAGGUUAGUGCAAUGGCAUAAGCCAGCUUGACUGCGAGCGUGACGGCGCGAGCAGGUGCGAAAGCAGGUCAUAGUGAUCCGGUGGUUCUGAAUGGAAGGGCCAUCGCUCAACGGAUAAAAGGUACUCCGGGGAUAACAGGCUGAUACCGCCCAAGAGUUCAUAUCGACGGCGGUGUUUGGCACCUCGAUGUCGGCUCAUCACAUCCUGGGGCUGAAGUAGGUCCCAAGGGUAUGGCUGUUCGCCAUUUAAAGUGGUACGCGAGCUGGGUUUAGAACGUCGUGAGACAGUUCGGUCCCUAUCUGCCGUGGGCGCUGGAGAACUGAGGGGGGCUGCUCCUAGUACGAGAGGACCGGAGUGGACGCAUCACUGGUGUUCGGGUUGUCAUGCCAAUGGCACUGCCCGGUAGCUAAAUGCGGAAGAGAUAAGUGCUGAAAGCAUCUAAGCACGAAACUUGCCCCGAGAUGAGUUCUCCCUGAGACUUUAGGUCUCCUGAAGGAACGUUGAAGACGACGACGUUGAUAGGCCGGGUGUGUAAGCGCAGCGAUGCGUUGAGCUAACCGGUACUAAUGAACCGUGAGGCUUAACCUUACAACGCCGAAG